rnacentral:lncRNA from 9 species
AGGUGCACACACCCACACUCAAACACACACACAAAACCUCAGCUCCUAAAAACUUUAUACAUCUAGUCCAAUUCCUUGCAUAAACAGUGCUGACGAAACCCUUCUUUUCUUAGGAGUGAGCCUCAGGUCCUUGCAAUCAGAAGAAACUGCCAAAUACUUAAGACAGUUCUGCUAGGAAAACACACACAACACUAGGAUACAGACAGAGCCAACUGUCAAAGCCUGGAUGUGCCAAAGUGAAUGUGAAGCAUCAAGAAAGCCACUGGAAGUUAUUGAAAGAUUGAAAUGGAAUAAGUGGAAUUUCAUUGCUUCCAGUUUUCAAAGAUUUUACAUCUUAGGAGAUUACAGUUUGAUGUUUCCCUGUCCUGGGUCAGAGAUCCAGAGAAUCAACCAGAUUCCAAGCCUUCUAGGGUUGAAUGAGAUGGAAGGACAACCCUGGGGCAACAUGGUAAAUGAGCAUCCUGUCCCAGAGCAGAGAAGAGAGGGAGCACAUCAUGGCGCUCUAAGAUGGUAAGCCUCUUUGAUUAAGACUCGUAUCAUGCAAAUACUCAAUUAAAAGAAAGUUUCUUCCAACCUUAUUUUGUGUCUCACAUUCAUGCCCCUUGAUGUCGAAAGAAAGAAAGAGAAAGGGAGUGGGGAAGGAAUUCCUGUUUUUAGAAAAAAAUAGAAUAACCUAGGAAAGGCAGCUAGUUAUCUAGUGAAAUAUCACAGAUGGGUUUUUUUUUUUUAAUAAAUUUUGUUGGAGCAUAGUUGACUUAGAAAGUUGUGUUAGUUUCAGGUGUACAGCAAAGUAACUCAGUUAUGCGUAUACAUACAUCCAUUCCUUUUCAGAGUCUUCUCCCAUAGAGGUUAUUACAUAGUGUUGAAUAUUGAGCAGAUUACUCUGUGCUAUACAGUAUGUCCUUGUUAACCUACCUAUUUUAUAAAGUGGUGUGUACAUGUCAAUCCCAAGCCCCUAAUUUAUCCCUCUCACCCCACAUUUCCCCUUUGGUAACCAUAAAUUUGGUUUCAAAAUCUUUGAGUCUGUUUCUGUUUUGUAGGUUUUUUGUAUCAUUCUUUUUGUUAGAUUUCAUAUAUGAUAAUUGUCUUUACCUGACUUACUUCACUUAGUAUGAUCAUUUCUAGGUUCAUCUAUGUUGCUGCAAAUGGUUAUUUUAUUUUUUAUGGCUGAGUAAUAUUCCAUUGCAUAUACAUUCCAUGUCUUCUUUAUCUAGUCCUCUGUUGUUGGACACUUAGGUUGCUUUCAUGUCUUAGCAAUUGUGAAUGAUGCUGCAACAAAACAUUGGAGUGCAUGUAUCUUUUUGAAUUAUGGUUUUCUCUGGAUAUAUGCCCAGGAGUGGGAUUGCUGGAUCAUAUGGUAGUUCUAUGUUUAGUUUUUUAAGGAACUUCCAUGCUGUUCUCCAUAGCAGUUGCUGCACCAGCUUACAUUCCCACCAAGAGUGUAGGAAGUUUCCCUUUUCUCCACACCCUCCCCACAGAUGAGAUUUUUAAUAUGAGCUUAAUAAUAUCCUUCUUUCUCCUAGCCAUUCUUGCAUCUAGGCUAGCUAAGAUGAAGGUAAGAUCAAGUCACUGGAUAAAAGUGUAUCAUCUCUGUGGAUUUUAAGAUAUAAAAUUUUUCUUUUCAAACCUAGGAAAUUUGUGACUUUGAGUAUCUGAAUACAACUUUGUGGCCAGAAAAGGGAAACAUAAUUGCCUUGCUUUCUAUUUUUUUUUUUCUUUUUUUUGCCCCAUUCUAAGGCAGUCAAAGACAGCCCCCACUAGAGGCUGUGAGUGUGCCUUUGGUGCAUUCACGCAUUGCAGUCCGGUGCUUUGACUUUCCAUCCAUUCAUCCAAGUUGAUCUUCAAGUAGUUACCUCUGCUUGUUGUGCGAUUCACUCUGCUUCCCCCCACUGUCUUCCAGCCAGAGUUAAACUCGUUUUCCAAGACUCAGUUCCACUCUGGCCUCCACACCUCCCCAGAGCCCCAGAGUCCCACCCACUCUGACAGAAGCCUAUCCUGACUUACCAUGAUUCAUCUUGCACUAGAGUUAUUUGUGUGCAUGUCCAUGUUUGUCACUUAACUGUGCUCCCACAGAGCAGGACCUGAGUUGUUUUUUUUUUCAGAUCUGAGCCUUACACCUAGUAGUUGUUCAGUUAUUGUUUACU